rnacentral:snoRNA from 1 species
CAGGGCUGGGGAAGGGCUGCUGGGCGGUGGGGCCAGCAGGCCCAGCCUCAUACCAGCCAGCCUCACCCAUGCCCAAGAUCAACUCCCAGGCGGGCUCCGUGCUGGGCUUCAUCCAGUGCAGUAACAGGUGUGAGCAUCUAUGCAGCAUUUUGAUGGUCAUGUAUGAUACUGCAUACAACA